UGAAACAGAAAUCCUGCUGCUUCUGCACUGAAAAGUCCUGGACUUUGUCCAUUUGGAGGGUGUGGAGGUAGCCCCGCUGGCCCUCUGUGUGUGCAGAAGAACUGACCUUGCUUUACACAGGAUUGCAAAACUGAACAAAGAUUGUUUCCCGGUAAACAUCUGGAAAAGCUUAAGGCCACAGGAACUUGACUGAGGAGUCAGCCGGUGCACUGGUCGCAGAUGUCCCAGCUCCAAGACUCUGGUGGGUAACAGUGUUGGAUUGUGGACUGCACGGCCGGGUUCAGGUGGCCUUUGUGAAGCAGUCUGGAGCACUAGUCUCGGAACCUGCUGCAGAAAAUUCAGACCUCAGCCCUUCCUGGGAGUUGACGAGCAGUUGGUGUCCCCCUUGCUCUGCUGACAGAACGCUUCCCCUUGAUACUUGAACGACUGGUUCCUUUUUAUCAUUCACAUCUCAGCCGAAAUGUCAGUACUCAGAGAGGCCCUUCUGACCACCACACUGAAAUAGCCACCCUUCGCUCCCUAUCACAUCACAUCCUUCUCCCCUGGAUAUUGUCCCAUCUGUUGGCCUGACUGACUCUCCUCUGGAAGCAGGUGGCUGGCACCAUUCAACCCUCAACUGGUUACAGCUUCUAGUAAUAAACGAAAUGGCCACCAGGGGGCAGGAAGGAGGGGAAAGAGGGCGACCGAAUGAACCAUGAAGUAUAAUAUAUACAUUAAUCCCUGCAAGACCUGAGACUCAAACAUUCUACUACUCAUUUAGUCAUCCUCACAAUAGCACUUAGUAAACACUUGCUAUGUGUCUGGCAUCAUGCAAGGUACCAGGAAUAAAAGGACAAACCUACUCUGAACGAUCUGACAGUCUGCAGAGGGAGAUGGGGGCAUGGGCACAGUGAAGCGCUGAGGACAGAGGGACAGGUGCUGUGAAAGCACAAAGCAGAGACUGAAGGACUCUGCAUGGCAUGGGUAGAGUCCAGGAAGAAACCCAGAGGUGGGACAUUCGAGCUGAGUCUUAGAGGGAAUAUGAAUUAUUGAAACCUCUCAGUCUGGGUUUUCACAUGAAAAGUACAGUUGUGUUCCCCCUUUAGUUUAACUGACAAAGAAAAAUCACUUUAGAAAAGCAUACAGGAUUACUCUGGUAGUUGAAAGAACCACUUAUUAAUAAAUAAAGAAUUUUUCAUCAAGACAACUUUUUUUUAAGAGAUGAGAUAGUUCUCUAUUUCUUGCCACAAACUGUCCACCAAAAUAAUUCCAUCUUCCUUGUGGGUCUUAUAUUGAAACCACUGAGUCAAUCACCUACAUGAUGGAUGAAGGUCACCCAACCAAAGAAAUACUUUCCUGUAAAUCCACAGGCUGCCUCCUUAAGAAAUGUGCUGUCAGAUAAAAGCAGCAGUUGAAAAAACGAGGUAGAUCUAUGUGUACUGAUAUAGACAGAUGCAUUGUUACAUGAAAAAAGCAAGUUUCGGAACACUGGAUAUUGUUAUUAGUAUGUUAGGAUCUGUAUAGAAUGAUCAAAAGAUAAAUACAAACAUAACAAUGGUUAUCUCUGAGAUGUCUUUUUCUGAGUCCUGAAUUUUUGAUACUAUUUUGUUUAGAAAAAUUUUGCAUUAUACUGGAAUUAAAAAUAAAAACUUAGAACAUAGGUCUGAU